rnacentral:rRNA from 1 species
UACGGAGGGUGCGAGCGUUGUUCGGAUUUACUGGGCGUAAAGGGCGCGUAGGCGGUCAGGUCAGUCCCGUGUGAAAUCCCUCGGCUCAACUGAGGAACUGCACGGGAAACUGCCUGGCUUGAGUUCGGGAGAGGGAAGCGGAAUUCCGGGCGUAGCGGUGAAAUGCGUAGAUAUCCGGAGGAACACCGGUGGCGAAGGCGGCUUCCUGGACCGACACUGACGCUGAGGCGCGAAAGCUAGGGGAGCAAACGGG